rnacentral:rRNA from 1 species
UACGAAGGGGGCUAGCGUUGCUCGGAAUCACUGGGCGUAAAGGGUGCGUAGGCGGGUCUUUAAGUCAGGGGUGAAAUCCUGGAGCUCAACUCCAGAACUGCCUUUGAUACUGAGGAUCUUGAGUUCGGGAGAGGUGAGUGGAACUGCGAGUGUAGAGGUGAAAUUCGUAGAUAUUCGCAAGAACGACCAGUGGCGAAGGCGGAGCUCACUGGCC